rnacentral:rRNA from 1 species
CCGCGGUAAUACGAACUGUGCGAACGUUAUUCGGAAUCACUGGGCUUACAGGGUGCGUAGGCGGCCUUUCAAGUCAGGUGUGAAAUCCCCCAGCUCAACUGGGGAACUGCGCUUGAAACUGGAGGGCUGGAGUCAACUAGAGGUGCAUGGAACUUCCGGUGGAGCGGUGAAAUGUGUUGAUAUCGGAAGGAACACCAGAGGCGAAAGCGAUGCACUGGGGUUGUUCUGACGCUGAGGCACGAAAGCCAGG